CCCUAUUAUAAUUAAUAUAAGAUAUAAUUUUGAGUAGUAAAUGUUUUGGGCAGGAAACUUAAAGAAUUUGGCGGUGUUUAUUCUAAUUAGAGGAAUAUGUUUUUUAAUUGAUAAUCCACAAUUAUCUUACUUAAAUUUAUUUAUUUUGUAUAUCUCCGUCUUAAAAAGACUUUUUAAAAUAUUCUUUAUAUUUUAUAAUUUAAAAUAAGUCAGGUCAAGGUGCAGAUGAUAUUUAAGUUAAAAUGUAUUACAUUAAAAAUAUUUUUGGAUUAGAACUAAACAACUUUUAUGAAAUUGGAUUUAUAAGUAGAUUUUUUUUAAUAAUAAUUAAUCGAAUUAUGUUAAUAGACAUGCACACAUC
rnacentral:rRNA from 1 species